AUUGAACGCUGGCGGCAUGCCUUACACAUGCGAGUCGAACGGCAGCACGGGAGCAAUCCUGGUGGCGAGUGGCGAACGGGUGAGUAAAGUAUCGGAACGUGCCCAGUCGUGGGGGAUAACGUAGCGAAAGUUACGCUAAUACCGCAUACGAUCUAUGGAUGAAAGCGGGGGAUCGCAAGACCUCGCGCGAUUGGAGCGGCCGAUAUCAGAUUAGGUAGGUGGUGGGGUAAAGGCCCACCAAGCCGACGAUCUGUAGCUGGUCUGAGAGGACGACCAGCCACACUGGAACUGGGACACGGCCCAGACUCCUACGGGAGGCAGCAGUGGGGAAUUUUGGACAAUGGGCGAAAGCCUGAUCCAGCCAUGCCGCGUGCAGGAUGAAGGCCUUCGGGUUGUAAACUGCUUUUGUACGGAACGAAAAGGUUUGGCCUAAUAAGCUGAGCUCAUGACGGUACCGUAAGAAUAAGCACCGGCUAACUACGUGCCAGCAGCCGCCGUAA
rnacentral:rRNA from 1 species